UUUUUGAUAAUAAUUUAAAGUUUGAUUUGCUCCAWGAAAUUAAAUUAAAUAGCUGCAGAAUAUUAACUGUACAAAGGUAGCAUAAUCAAUAGUUUUUUAAUUAAAAGCUGGAAUGAAUGAUUUAAUAAGGUAAAUAUUGUYUCAAUUUUAAUAAAAUUAUAAUUUUUUUUUUUGUAAAAAUGCUAAAUUAAAUUUAAAAGACGAGAAGACCCUAUAGAUUUUAAUAAUUUUAAUUAAUAAAAUUUUAAUAAAAUAAUAAAUUUUAAUGAAAAAUUAUUUGAUUGGGGAAAUUAUUAAAUUUAAUAAAUUUUAAUUAUUAUUUAACAAUAAUUAUUGAAUUUUUGAUCUUAAAUAAAAAUUGAAAGAAUAAAUUACCUUAGGGAUAACAGCGUAAUUUUUUUGGAGAGAUCUAAUUGAUAAAAAAGUUUGCGACCUCGAUGUUGAAUUAAGAUAAAAUUUUAAUGAAGAAGUWAAAAAAUUUUGG
rnacentral:rRNA from 1 species